rnacentral:rRNA from 1 species
AGCGAACGCUGGCGGCAGGCCUAACACAUGCAAGUCGAACGAACCCUUCGGAGUUAGUGGCGGACGGGUGAGUAACACGUGGGAACGUGCCUUUAGGUUCGGAAUAACUCAGGGAAACUUGUGCUAAUACCGAAUGUGCCCUUCGGGGGAAAGAUUUAUCGCCUUUAGAGCGGCCCGCGUCUGAUUAGCUAGUUGGUGAGGUAACGGCUCACCGAGGCGACGAUCAGUAGCUGGUCUGAGAGGAUGGCCAGCCACACUGGGACUGAGACACGGCCCAGACUCCUACGGGAGGCAGCAGUGGGGAAUCUUGCGCAAUGGGCGAAAGCCUGACGCAGCCAUGCCGCGUGAAUGAUGAAGGUCUUAGGAUUGUAAAAUUCUUUCACCGGGGACGAUAAUGACGGUACCCGGAGAAGAAGCCCCGGCUAACUUCGUGCCAGCAGCCGCCGUAA